GACGAACGCUGGCGGCGUGCCUAAUACAUGCAAGUAGAACGCUGAGGAGAGGAGCUUGCUCUUCUUGGGUGAGUUGCGCACGGGUGAGUAACGCGUAGAUAACCUCCCUGGUAGUGGGGUAUAACUAUGGGAAACGAGAGCUAAUACCGUAUGACAAUAUGUGACACAUGUCGUUUAUGUGAAAGUCGGAGUUGCUCGAUUACAUAGAGGACUUUCGGCGUAUUGGCGGGGAGGUGAGGUAACGGGUCUUCUAGGCGACGAUAGCUAGCCGGCCUGAGAGGGUGGUCGGCCACACUGGGACUGAGACACGGCCCAGACUCCUAAGGGAGGCAGCCAGAGGGCAUCUUCGGCAAUGGGGGGAAACCUGAACGAGCAACGCCGCGUGGGGGAAGAAGGUUUUCGGGUCCUAAAGCUCUGUUGUCAGUCAAGAAAGAGCGUGCGAGUGGAAAGUUCACACUGUGACGGUAGCUUACCAGAAAGCGACGGCUAACUACGUG
rnacentral:rRNA from 1 species